rnacentral:rRNA from 1 species
UACGUAGGGUGCAAGCGUUAAUCGGAAUUACUGGGCGUAAAGCGUGCGCAGGCGGUUGUGCAAGACCGAUGUGAAAUCCCCGGGCUUAACCUGGGAACUGCGCUUGUUACUGGCAGACUGGAGUGUGGCAGAGGGGGGUGGAAUUCCAGGUGUAGCAGUGAAAUGCGUAGAUAUCUGGAGGAACACCGAUGGCGAAGGCAGCCCCCUGGGCUAACACUGACGCUGAUGCACGAAAGCGUGGGGAGCAAACAGG